GAAGUACUCCCUCCUUCCGGAAUUACUUGUCGCACAAAUGUAUAAAAUGGAUGUAUCUGGAAGUAAAAUACAUCUAGAUACAUCCAUUCCUAUGACAAGUAUUUCCGGACGGAGGGAGUAUGUC
rfam:Hordeum vulgare subsp. vulgare, WGS project CAJW01000000 data, contig: morex_contig_436153